GGCUUUAUGGUGUAAUUGGUUUAGCGCGUCCCGGACAUCAUGAAGAUCGGGAAGUUAUAGGUUCAAGUCCUAUUGAGGCCC